rnacentral:rRNA from 1 species
GCGGUAGCACAGAGAGCUUGCUCUCGGGUGACGAGCGGCGGACGGGUGAGUAAUGUCUGGGAAACUGCCUGAUGGAGGGGGAUAACUACUGGAAACGGUAGCUAAUACCGCAUAAUGUCGCAAGACCAAAGUGGGGGACCUUCGGGCCUCAUGCCAUCAGAUGUGCCCAGAUGGGAUUAGCUAGUAGGUGGGGUAACGGCUCACCUAGGCGACGAUCCCUAGCUGGUCUGAGAGGAUGACCAGCCACACUGGAACUGAGACACGGUCCAGACUCCUACGGGAGGCAGCAGUGGGGAAUAUUGCACAAUGGGCGCAAGCCUGAUGCAGCCAUGCCGCGUGUGUGAAGAAGGCCUUCGGGUUGUAAAGCACUUUCAGCGGGGAGGAAGGCGUUAAGGUUAAUAACCUUGUCGAUUGACGUUACCCGCAGAAGAAGCACCGGCUAACUCCGUGCCAGCAGCCGCCGUACUACGGAGGGUGCAAGCGUUAAUCGGAAUUACUGGGCGUAAAGCGCACGCAGGCGGUCUGUCAAGUCGGAUGUGAAAUCCCCGGGCUCAACCUGGGAACUGCAUUCGAAACUGGCAGGCUAGAGUCUUGUAGAGGGGGGUAGAAUUCCAGGUGUAGCGGUGAAAUGCGUAGAGAUCUGGAGGAAUACCGGUGGCGAAGGCGGCCCCCUGGACAAAGACUGACGCUCAGGUGCGAAAGCGUGGGGAGCAAACAGGAUUAGAUACCCUGGUAGUCCACGCCGUAAACGAUGUCGAUUUGGAGGUUGUGCCCUUGAGGCGUGGCUUCC